rnacentral:rRNA from 1 species
CCCUUAGAUGUUCUGGGCCGCACGCGCGCUACACUGAUGAAUUCAACGAGCUCCUAACCUAGGCCGAAGGGUCCGGGUAAUCUUUGAAAUUUCAUCGUGAUGGGGAUAGAUUAUUGCAAUUAUUAAUCUUCAACGAGGAAUUCCUAGUAAGCGCGAGUCAUCAGCUCGCGUUGAUUACGUCCCUGCCCUUUGUACACACCACCCGUCGCUCCUACCGAUUGAAUGGUCCGGUGAAAUGUUCGGACCGCGACAAGGCGGACGGUUCGCUGUCAGCUUUGCUGCGGGAAGUUCAUUAAACCUUAUCAUUUAGAGGAAGGAGAAGUCGUAACA